AUUGAACGCUGGCGGCAUGCCUUACACAUGCAAGUCAAACGGUAACAGGUUAAGCUGACGAGUGGCGAACGGGUGAGUAAUACAUCGGAACGUGCCCAGUAGUGGGGGAUAGCCCGGCGAAAGCCGGAUUAAUACCGCAUACGACCUAAGGGUGAAAGGGGGGGAUCGCAAGACCUCUCGCUAUUGGAGCGGCCGAUGUCAGAUUAGCUAGUUGGUGGGGUAAAAGCUCACCAAGGCGACGAUCUGUAGCUGGUCUGAGAGGACGACCAGCCACACUGGGACUGAGACACGGCCCAGACUCCUACGGGAGGCAGCAGUGGGGAAUUUUGGACAAUGGGCGCAAGCCUGAUCCAGCCAUGCCGCGUGCGGGAAGAAGGCCUUCGGGUUGUAAACCGCUUUUGUCAGGGAAGAAAUCCUUUGGGUUAAUACCUCGGGGGGAUGACGGUACCUGAAGAAUAAGCACCGGCUAACUACGUGCCAGCAGCCGCGGUAAAAC
rnacentral:rRNA from 1 species